CCUACGGGAGGCAGCAGUAGGGAAUAUUGCUCAAUGGGGGAAACCCUGAAGCAGCAACGCCGCGUGGAGGAUGAAGGUUUUCGGAUUUUAAACUCUUUUUUUUAGAGAAGUUAAUGACGGUAUCUAAGGAUUAAGCACCGGCUAACUCCGUUCCAGCAGCCGCGGUAAUACGGAGGGUGCAAGCGUUAUUCGGAAUCACUGGGCGUUAAGAGCGCGUAGGCGGGAUAGCAAGUCAGAUGUGAAAUCCUAUGGCUUAACCAUAGAACUGCAAUUGAAACUGUUAUUCUAGAGUAUGGGAGAGGUAGGUGGAAUUCGUGGGGUAGGGGUAAAAUGCGUAGAGAUCAAGAGGAAUACUCAUUGCGAAGGCGGCCUGCUAGAACAUAACUGACGCUGAUGCGCGAAAGCGUGGGGAGCAAACAGGAUUAGAUACCCGGGUAGUC
rnacentral:rRNA from 1 species